rnacentral:rRNA from 1 species
UACGAAGGGGGCUAGCGUUGUUCGGAAUUACUGGGCGUAAAGCGCACGUAGGCGGAUAUUUAAGUCAGGGGUGAAAUCCCAGAGCUCAACUCUGGAACUGCCUUUGAUACUGGGUAUCUUGAGUAUGGAAGAGGUGAGUGGAAUUCCGAGUGUAGAGGUGAAAUUCGUAGAUAUCGGGAGGAACAUCAGUGGCGAAGGCGGCGACCUGGGCCGAUACUGACGCUGAGGAGCGAAAGCGUGGGGAGCGAACAGG